rnacentral:rRNA from 1 species
GAGUUUGAUCCUGGCUCAGAGCGAACGUUAGCGGCGGGCCUAACACAUGCAAGUCGAGCGAGAAAGUGGCUUCGGCCAUCAGUAAAGCGGCGGACGGGUGAGUAACACGUAGGUAAUCUUCCCUUGAGCGGGGGACAACGAGCCGAAAGGCUCGCUAAUACCGCAUACGUUCUCCGAGACUCCGGUCUUGGAGAGGAAAGCUAGGCAGCAAUGUCCGGCACUCGAGGAGGAGCCUGCGUCGCAUCAGCUAGUUGGUGGGGUAACGGCCUACCAAGGCGAAGACGCGUAGCUGGUCUGAGAGGAUGAUCAGCCACACUGGGACUGCGACACGGCCCAGACUCCUACGGGAGGCAGCAGUGGGGAAUAUUGGACAAUGGGCGCAAGCCUGAUCCAGCCACGCCGCGUGAGUGAUGAAGGCCUUC